GUGCUUGCUUCAGCAGCACAUAAACUAAAAUUGGAAUGAUACAGAGAAGAUUAGCAUGGCCCCUGCACAAGGCUGACAUGCAAACUCAUGAAGCAUUCCAUAUUAAA
rnacentral:snRNA from 1 species